rnacentral:lncRNA from 1 species
AUCUUGGUGGCCCAAGGUCAUGGUGGUGGCAUCUCGGUGGCUUGGUGGUGGCUCCAGCUCACGGUGGCCCUGGCUUGGUGGUGGCCCCAGGUCAUUGGUGGCAUCUUGGUGGCCCAAGGUCAUGGUGGUGGCAUCUCAGUGGCUUGGUGGUGACCCCAGGUCACGGUGGCCCUGUCUCGGUGGUGGCCCCAGCUUCUUGGUGGCAUCUUGGUGGCUUGUGGUGGCCCCAACUCCUUGGUGGCAUCUUGGUGGCCCCAGGUCAUGGUGGCCCUGUCUCGGUGGUGGCCCCAGCUUCUUGGUGGCAUCUUGGUGGCUUGUGGUGGCCCCAACUCCUUGGUGGCAUCUUGGUGGCCCCAGGUCAUGGUGGCCCUGUCUCGGUGGUGGCCCCAGCUUCUUGGUGGCAUCUUGGUGGCUUGUGGUGGCCCCAACUCCUUGGUGGCAUCUUGGUGACCCCAGGUCAUGGUGGCCCUGGCUCGGUGGUGGCAUCUUGGUGGCUCAUGGUGGCCCUGUCUUGGUGGUGGCCCCAGGUCGUUGGUGGCAUCUUGGUGGCUCAUGGUGGCCCUGGCUCAGUGGUGACCCCAGCUUCUUGGUGGCAUCUUGGUGGCUCAUGGUGGCCCCAGCUCAUUGAUGUCCCCAACUCAUAGUGGCCCCAGGUCAUUGGUGGCCCCUCUGUGCCUUGUUGAUGUCCCC